rnacentral:rRNA from 1 species
AUUGAACGCUGGCGGAAUGCUUUACACAUGCAAGUCGAGCGGCAGCGCGGGGGCAACCCUGGCGGCGAGCGGCGAACGGGUGAGUAACAUAUCGGAACGUACCCCGUCGUGGGGGAUAACACAGCGAAAGCUGUGCUAAUACCGCAUACGACCUGAGGGUGAAAGCGGGGGAUCGCAAGACCUCGCGCGAUGGGAGCGGCCGAUAUCGGAUUAGCUUGUUGGUGAGGUAAAGGCUCACCAAGGCGACGAUCCGUAGCUGGUCUGAGGGGACGACCAGCCACACUGGAACUGAGACACGGUCCAGACUCCUACGGGAGGCAGCAGUGGGGAAUUUUGGGACAAUGGGGGGCAACCCUGAUCCAGCCAUUCCGCGUGAGUGAAGAAGGCCUUCGGUGUAAGA